rnacentral:rRNA from 1 species
AGAGUUUGAUCCUGGCUCAGGACGAACGCUGGCGGCGUGCUUAACACAUGCAAGUCGAACGGGCUUCUGGGGUUCUGGCUUUUGGUUGGGGUUCUGGGGGUUAGUGGCGAACGGGUGAGUAACACGUGAGUAACCUGCCCUUCACUUCUGGAUAACCGCUUGAAAGGGUGGCUAAUACGGGAUGUUUCUGGGUCUGUCGCAUGGCGGGUUCGGGAAAGAUGGCACUGUUUGGUGUUUUUGGUGGGGGAUGGGCUCGCGGCCUAUCAGCUUGUUGGUGGGGUGAUGGCCUACCAAGGCGGUGACGGGUAGCCGGCCUGAGAGGGUGGACGGUCACACUGGGACUGAGACACGGCCCAGACUCCUACGGGAGGCAGCAGUGGGGAAUAUUGCACAAUGGGCGCAAGCCUGAUGCAGCGACGCCGCGUGAGGGAUGGAGGCCUUCGGGUUGUGAACCUCUUUCGCCAGUGAAGCAGGCCUGUCCCUUUUGUGGGUGGGUUGACGGUAGCUGGAUAAGAAGCGCCGGCUAACUACGUGCCAGCAGCCGCGGUAAUACGUAGGGCGCGAGCGUUGUCCGGAAUUAUUGGGCGUAAAGAGCUCGUAGGCGGCUGGUCGCGUCUGUCGUGAAAUCCUCUGGCUUAACUGGGGGCUUGCGGUGGGUACGGGCCGGCUUGAGUGCGGUAGGGGAGACUGGAACUCCUGGUGUAGCGGUGGAAUGCGCAGAUAUCAGGAAGAACACCGGUGGCGAAGGCGGGUCUCUGGGCCGUUACUGACGCUGAGGAGCGAAAGCGUGGGGAGCGAACAGGAUUAGAUACCCUGGUAGUCCACGC